rnacentral:lncRNA from 1 species
AUGAUUUCAUUGUGGAAAAGAAUGAAGCAUCAGAAAGGAUGCAGAGAGACCUGAAUUCUGAGGCUUCCUGCUCAUGCAUUUAGUGGACAUCUCUGGCAUAACAUAGGAAUUUAUUAAGGAAAUCCUUACAUUUAAUUAGAGAGUUUUCAAGGCAGACCCUUUUUAUGUCUGUAUUUGAAAUUUUCCAGGGUCUAACAGGAAUUUCAGGCCGAAAUGUCUCCUAGGGAUGCAAGCAUUCUCUACCAGUGCCUAAGAGCAAGCCACUAAUCACUUUUCAAAAGGAGUUUCAACCCGUACAAGGCCCAGUCUGCAUGUGAGAACCCACUUCCCACAACCAUAAAAACUCCACGACAGUUUCCUUUCCAUAAGCUUUCUCAAGACAAUUUUGGACAUGCCUGGGAGCCACUGUGCUUGGCCUGGAAAGCCUCACUGUAGGUGUUGCAAGUAGGCUGCCGCGUUAGACUGGACCGAGGGAAACUGGUGCUGCAACAUCUGAAUCACUUCCGGCAGUUCCGGGUCUCUCCAUCCAAAUUCUCUGAACAAAAGGAAAGAAGCGGGGAGAAUAUGAGAGAGAAAUCCUACCACACUGUUAACACAUGGUUAGCUCGUGUAUGAAAUGUACCUGACUCUAAAAGAAAAUAUUUCAUAAAUGACUGUUCUGGUUUUCUUACAUGCAGACCCAUUUAAGGGGAUUUGGAAGAGAUUCCCUUGAGUAAAUAGUUUUCUUUCUUUUCUUUUUUUUUUUUUUUUAGACAGAAUCUCACUCUGUCGCCCAGGCU